UGAUCAUUUCUGACUGAAAACUCAGUAGUUCUUAAACCUUUGUUUGUUGUCGACAGGUCUGAUCUUCUCUGCAACCUGACAAAAUACUCAAACUCAAACACAAAGAUUAC